GGGCGGGCGGGCGGGCGAGCGGGCGGGCAGUUUCAGGGGCUGCGCCUUCACCUUCUUCAUCGCACGGAGGUGCGUGACGUCAUUUAUGGACGGCCCCACAUCCACCGACCGACAUCUCAUCCCGCUCGUUCCGACUGCCCUUCCAGCCCGGCGCGUGAGAUGGGAUCAGCUCAAAUGUCCAAAUGGCUUGUGGAAUCGCAAAGUUACGCGGAUGGCAAGUGUGAGUAGACCAUUGUUUGGCAGUGGAUUUAUCAUUUUCUUUAUCAAUAAAAUGUUCCUGGCGAGAUCACUGUCUCGGCCUACUCAAUAGAAGUGAGUGCCUCCUAUUGAGCAUUGUUGAUGUUUCCACAGAAACAACAAAUCUUUUUUUUCUUAUUGGAGAACAGAACGCAUAUACCGUCAUGGAAAUUAAGCAAUGAAUCCAACAUUUUUUACCGCUCGUUUUGUCACUUUUAUUAUGAAAGAAGUUACAAGAUUUUUUUUAGCGUAAAAUUUCAAUUUUCCUCGUCCAUUUCCUCAGCUGGUGCCGACACUCAUCGAUGCCUUAAUCCCAUCUCGACUUGGAUGAUUGCAUUUCCUCUGCAGCCUCCCCAAUUCCCUCCUCUCCAAACUCCGUAUCUAAAAUGCCACUGCAAGACUUUUUAACCCCACCCAUAAACCAGACCAUAUCGCUCAUGCUCCGUUCACAUUCCAUCAAAUCCUGGAACAAUGUUCAGAAGUGCAGUCUUGAAGAUCCCCCAUGCACUCAUCCAUUACCCAUUAGUAAUUUUGGUGAACCAGGUCACGCUUGCAAAUAAGACUAUCGCUGUCUCUUGAGUUCCCACCUGAUUAAAGAAAAUUUACUUUACGCUAAUUACCGUACCUCUGCCUUCUCAUCCCACUCUACACCCCUCAACGCACGUGCUGUUUCAGUAAUAAACGCAUUCGGUCGAAGUUCCUGGUCAACGUUCACUCAGUGGGAGGUUGCUCGUUCUCUUUCAAUGUCCCCAUCAUAGUCUGGAACUCCCUUGCCACGAGCAAUCUGUGCUGUGGACUCCCUGCGCCUAUUCAAGUCCUUCCUCAAGACCUUUUUUUUCCUUUGACUUCCUCUCUCCAUAAUUAAAUAUGCCCACUGCGAGAAACAGUGGAAGAUGAAU